rfam:Wallemia ichthyophaga EXF-994 unplaced genomic scaffold scaffold27, whole genome shotgun sequence.
GGGUAGAUGCCUGAGUGGUUAUAGGGGUUGACUGUAAUUCAACUGGGUGCCACCCGUCGGGAGUUCGAAUCUCUCUCUGCCCA